UGGUCCUGACUACAUAAGAAAGAUAGCUGAGCAAGCGAGCAAACGGCAUUUCCCGUGGCUUCAAGUUUCUGCUUGAGUUCCUGCCCUGAUUUCCCUCAGAGACAGACCUGGACGUAUAAGACCAAUAAGCCCUUUCCUUCCUCAGUUUCUUUCAGUCGGAGUGUUUUAUAUAGCAACAUUACAACUCCAGAGACUAAAACCACAGGAACAGGUUCUUGUGGAACCCAAGUCGACCUUAAACUUUCUACAUAACUGAGAAUUGACGCUGCCUUGGUCCUCCGGCCUCUGUAUGCACCACCUCGCCAGACAUCAUUCACUGCAGGGGCUGCCACACCUCACAUGUUACACUGCCAGUCAAAUCCAUCCUAACUGAAAUGGAGGCCCAUCUAAGUCAAAGGGACUUCAGCAGAGAGGUAACAGGCUAAGGCAGAGACAGAAACAGGAUCUCUCCAAACUCAAGGCCAGCCUGUGGAACACAGUGUGUUCCAGGACAACAAGAGCUACAAAGUGAGACCCUGUGUCAAAUAAAU